rnacentral:rRNA from 1 species
AACGAACGCUGGCGGCGCGCCUAAUACAUGCAAGUCGAACGAGAAGCUGUAGCAAUACAGUUGUACAGUGGCGAACGGGUGAGGAAUACAUGGGUGACCUACCCUCGAGUGGGGAAUAACCAGCCGAAAGGUUGGCUAAUACCGCGUACGCUUCCCAGUCUACGGGUUGGGAAGGAAAGCGAUGCCGUGGGUAUCGCGCUCAAGGUUGGGCUCAUGUCCUAUCAGCUUGNGGUGGGGUAACGGCUCACCAAGGCAACGACGGGUAGCUGGUCUGAGAGGACGAUCAGCCACACUGGCACUGCGACACGGGCCAGACUCCUACGGGAGGCAGCAGUAAGGAAUAUUGCGCAAUGGGCGAAAGCCUGACGCAGCGACGCCGCGUAGGGGGAUGAA